UGGGGAAUAUUGCACAAUGGGCGAAAGCCUGAUGCAGCAACGCCGCGUGAGUGAUGAAGGUCUUCGGAUUGUAAAGCUCUGUCUUUUGGGACGAUAAUGACGGUACCAAAGGAGGAAGCCACGGCUAACUACGUGCCAGCAGCCGCGGUAAUACGUAGGUGGCGAGCGUUGUCCGGAUUUACUGGGCGUAAAGGGUGCGUAGGCGGAUGUUUAAGUGAGAUGUGAAAUACCCGGGCUUAACUUGGGUGCUGCAUUUCAAACUGGAUAUCUAGAGUGCAGGAGAGGAGAAUGGAAUUCCUAGUGUAGCGGUGAAAUGCGUGGAGAUUAGGAAGAACACCAGUGGCGAAGGCGAUUCUCUGGACUGUAACUGACGCUGAGGCACGAAAGCGUGGGUAGCAAACAGGAUUAGAUACCCUGGUAGUCCACGCCGUAAACGAUGAGUACUAGGUGUAGGAGGUAUCGACCCCUUCUGUGCCGCAGUAAACACAUUAAGUACUCCGCCUGGGAAGUACGAUCGCAAGAUUAAA
rnacentral:rRNA from 1 species